AGGACGAACGCUGGCGGCGUGCUUAACACAUGCAAGUCACGGGGGCCCGCAAGGGCAACCGGCGAACGGGUGCGUAACACGUGAGCAACCUGCCGAUCUGUGGGAGAUAGCCGGGCUAACGCCCGGGUAAUACCGCAUACGGUUGCCGAGGGGAGUCCCUUGGCAAAGAAACCUCCGGGGCAGAUCGAGGGGCUCGCGGCCUAUCAGCUAGUUGGGGGGGUAAUGGCCCACCAAGGCGACGACGGGUAGCU
rnacentral:rRNA from 1 species